rnacentral:lncRNA from 1 species
UAAAGAGUGACAGUCAGAAAAGAUUAUUUUCUUAUUUUCUUAAAUCGGACGGUAAACAUCAUUUAUCACUCCUUAACAGAACGUGGGAAGUUCUCCACCUGCAUUUAUUUGCUCUAAGAUGGAAACUGCGUGAAGCAAAAAAUAGAAGAGCCAAAUUCAACCACCAGCUACUGUAGAAUACCCACCUCUGGACCUGCCCCCAAACUGCGGCACAAGGGCAUCUUCCNGCUACUGUAGAAUACCCACCUCUGGACCUGCCCCCAAACUGCGGCACAAGGGCAGGUGACUUCUCGGAAGAUGCCAUUCUGUACCACUAGUAUGCAUGAACACUCCUCCCACUGCCUGGGUGUCCUAUGAAUCACUAAUUCCAGUACCCAAGGGCAGCAGGCUGAGGGACUUAUUCAUGCCCAGCAAACAAACACAUCCUCAGUGGACAGCAGAAUGGCUCUUCAUGUCUUCACUGCAUCACAACCCUCGAGUGGACUGGAAGUUAUGUCUUCAUAAUCUCUCAGCAUGUUCCCUCUCUCAGUAG